UACGUAGGUGGCAAGCGUUGUCCGGAUUUAUUGGGUUUAAAGGGUGCGUAGGCGGUCUUAUAAGUCAGUGCUGAAAUAUCCCGGCUUAACCGGGAGGAUGGCAUUGAUACUGUAGGACUUGAGUAAAGUUGAGGUUGGCGGAAUUGACGGUGUAGCGGUGAAAUGCUUAGAUAUCGUCAAGAACACCGAUAGUGUAGACAGCUAACUAAGCUUUAACUGACGCUGAGGCACGAAAGUGUGGGGAUCAAACAGG
rnacentral:rRNA from 1 species